rnacentral:rRNA from 1 species
GAUGAACGCUGGCGGCGUGCCUAACACAUGCAAGUCGAGCGAUCUUCUUCGGAAGAGAGCGGCGGACGGGUGAGUAACGCGUGGGUAACCUGCCCUGUACACACGGAUAACAUACCGAAAGGUAUGCUAAAACGGGAUAACAUACUUUUAUCGCAUGGUAGAAGUAUCAAAGCUCCGGCGGUACAGGAUGGACCCGCGUCUGAUUAGCUAGUUGGUAAGGUAACGGCUUACCAAGGCGACGAUCAGUAGCCGACCUGAGAGGGUGAUCGGCCACAUUGGAACUGAGACACGGUCCAAACUCCUACGGGAGGCAGCAGUGGGGAAUAUUGCACAAUGGGCGAAAGCCUGAUGCAGCAACGCCGCGUGAGCGAUGAAGGCCUUCGGGUCGUAAAGCUCUGUCCUCAAGGAAGAUAAUGACGGUACUUGAGGAGGAAGCCCCGGCUAACUACGUGCCAGCAGCCGCCGUAACAC